CAGGCUGCAACCCGCCUGCACGAAGUUGGAAUUGCUAGUAAUCGUGGAUCAGCAUGCCACGGUGAAUACGUUCCCGGGUCUUGUACACACCGCCCGUCACACCAUGGGAGUCGGUAACACCCGAAGUCAGUAGUCUAACCGCAAGGAGGACGCUGCCGAAGGUGGGAUUGACGACUGGGGUGAAGUCGUAACAAGGUACC
rnacentral:rRNA from 1 species